rnacentral:rRNA from 1 species
GAGUUUGAUUAUGGCUCAGAUUGAACGCUGGCGGCAGGCUUAACACAUGCAAGUCGAACGGAAGUUACUAGCUUGCUAGCAACUUUAGUGGCGAACGGGUGAGUAACAUUUAGGAAUCUGCCUCAUAACGGGGGAUAGCUCGGGGAAACUCGAAUUAAUACCGCAUACACCCUACGGGGGAAAGGUGGCGCAAGCUGCCGAUAUGAGAUGAGCCUAAAUCAGAUUAGCUAGAUGGUGGGGUAAAGGCCUACCAUGGCGACGAUCUGUAACUGGUCUGAGAGGAUGAUCAGUCACACCGGAACUGAGACACGGUCCGGACUCCUACGGGAGGCAGCAGUGGGGAAUAUUGGACAAUGGGCGAAAGCCUGAUCCAGCCAUGCCGCGUGUGUGAAGAAGGCCAUAAGGUUGUAAAGCACUUUAAGCAGGGAGGAAGAACUUUUAGUUAAUAGCUAAAAGUGGUGACGUUACCUGCAGAAUAAGCACC